ACUAGAUCCUUGCUUGACUUGAGAGGUAUGAGGUUGGAACGGCUGUAGCCAUCUCCAUCUAUUGAGGGAACACGGGUUUGAGAACACAGUCAAGUCAGGACGAGAACAAGAGACGCUGGAUCUUGAGGACAGUGCUUGAGCCCUCGAAUCAAUCAAUGUCUAAACUAAUGGAGGGUCGAUGAAGACAUUUGGCCAGAGGACCCUGAAACACCUGAAUCCCACCUUUGGCUGGCUAGCCCCAUUUCUCAGCAGUGCCUUCACAGGAGCGGGUAGGAAUAUAUCCAUAGAACACAUGCAGAUGGAUAAGCCAGGUUCUGGUCUCCAUUCCAGGAGAAUGCCAUUUGGUUGAAUUUUGGCUACAGUGUACGGACAUAAAGAAUUUGGGUCAUUCUUAUACCCAACAGACCACAUCCAGGAAAUGUAUUCAAGAUGCUUUGAUCUCAUCUGAGGGGUGGCUAAGUACAACCCAUUCUUAAUAAAGCUAUUUAUAGUGAGAAGCAAUUUGGGUCAGGCCUGCCUUUCCAGUCUGCCUCAUUGGCAAAGUGGUAGGCCCCUGACUUCUGUCUC
rnacentral:lncRNA from 1 species